rnacentral:lncRNA from 1 species
UUUGUAUCAUGAUAUUGAUAUAAAUAUAUAUUGUGAAUAUAUAAUAACAAGGCAUUUCUUUAUUGAUUUUGUUUUGUUUCAAAAUAAUAAAGUCCCUAGAAUAGUUAGCCCAUUUAAUGGAACAUUAAGUAUAACUUAAUUGUGAGACCCCAUUAAACAUAAGGAAACUAUUCUCAAAGUAUCCGUAGUCAAGCUUUAUUGAGAAGUGAGAUAUCAUUAAAGCAUAGAGACU